CUAAAAAGAAAAAAAAAAUUAUAAAAAAAUAAAGAAAAUGCUGAAAAAGUAACCAUUAAUAUGAAGAAAGUUAAUGUUUGAAAAAGAGCAAAAAUAAAUGGAAAAAUAGAAAAAAAAAGUUUUUUUCUUUAGAGAAAAAAUGUUUUAAAUAGAAAAGAAAAAAAGAAAAAUAAAGAAAAAACAUUUAGUGGAUUUCAAACUCAGGUGAGUAUAAGGUGAGAGUGAUACUUAACCAUUGCACCACAACCUUCGUUUUGUAUUAUUUAGGAAAACUGUUAUUUAUGUAAAAGUUCACGACCCACGCCCUAACCUAUCUCACCCAUACACACUCAGUCUCACAGGAGACUAACUAU
rnacentral:lncRNA from 1 species